rnacentral:rRNA from 1 species
GCAAGUCGAGCGGGGAGUCUCGUAACUGACCAAGCGCGGACGGUGAGUAAUGCUUAGGAAUCUGCCUAUUAGUGGGGACAACAUUCCGAAAGGAAUGCUAAUACCGCAUACGCCCUACGGGGGAAAGCAGGGGAUCUUCGGACCUGCGCUAUAGAUGAGCCUAAGUCGGAUUAGCUAGUUGGUGGGGUAAAGGCCUACCAAGGCGACGAUCUGUAGCGGGUCUGAGAGGAUGAUCCGCCACACUGGGACUGAGACACGGCCCAGACUCCUACGGGAGGCAGCAGUGGGGAAUAUUGGACAAUGGGCGGAAGCCUGAUCCAGCCAUGCCGCGUGUGUGAAGAAGGCCUUUUGGUUGUAAAGCACUUUAAGCGAGGAGGAGGCUACUGGUACUAAUACUACUGGAUAGUGGACGUUACUCGCAGAAUAAGCACCGGCUAACUCUGUGCCAGCAGCCGCGGUAAUACAGAGGGUGCGAGCGUUAAUCGGAUUUACUGGGCGUAAAGCGUGCGUAGGCGGCUGAUUAAGUCGGAUGUGAAAUCCCUGAGCUUAACUUAGGAAUUGCAUUCGAUACUGGUCAGCUAGAGUAUGGGAGAGGAUGGUAGAAUUCCAGGUGUAGCGGUGAAAUGCGUAGAGAUCUGGAGGAAUACCGAUGGCGAAGGCAGCCAUCUGGCCUAAUACUGACGCUGAGGUACGAAAGCAUGGGGAGCAAACAGGAUUAGAUACCCUGGUAGUCCAUGCCGUAAACGAUGUCUACUAGCCGUUGGGGCCUUUGAGGCUUUAGUGGCGCAGCUAACGCGAUAAGUAGACCGCCUGGGGAGUACGGUCGCAAGACUAAAACUCAAAUGAAUUGACGGGGGCCCGCACAAGCGGUGGAGCAUGUGGUUUAAUUCGAUGCAACGCGAAGAACCUUACCUGGUCUUGACAUAGUAAGAACUUUCCAGAGAUGGAUUGGUGCCUUCGGGAACUUACAUACAGGUGC